rnacentral:rRNA from 1 species
GACAGAGGGUGCAAACGGUUGUUCGGAAUUACUGGGCGUAAAAGCGCGCGGUAGGCGGCUGAGUAAGUCGAUUGUGAAAUCCCCGGGCUCAACCUGGGAAUUGCAGGUCGAGACUGCUCGGCUAGAGUGUGGGAGAGGGUGGUGGAAUUCCCGGUGUAGCGGUGAAAUGCGUAGAUAUCGGGAGGAACAUCAGUGGCGAAGGCGACCACCUGGCCCAACACUGACGCUGAGGUGCGAAAGCGUGGGUAGCAAACAGG